CACAAGCGGUGGAUGAUGUGGACUAAUUCGAUGCAACGCGAAAACCUUACCUACCCUUGACAUGUCCGGAAUCCUGCAGAGGUGCGGGAGUGCCCGAAAGGGAAUCGGAACACAGGUGCUGCAUGGCUGUCGUCAGCUCGUGUCGUGAGAUGUUGGGUUAAGUCCCGCAACGAGCGCAACCCUUAUCAUUAGUUGCUACGCAAGGGCACUCUAAUGAGACUGCCGGUGACAAACCGGAGGAAGGUGGGGAUGACGUCAAGUCCUCAUGGCCCUUAUGGGUAGGGCUUCACACGUCAUACAAUGGAUGGUACAAAGGGUCGCCAACCCGCGAGGGGGAGCCAAUCCCAUAAAGCCAUUCGUAGUCCGGAUCGCAGUCUGCAACUCGACUGCGUGAAGUCGGAAUCGCUAGUAAUCGUGGAUCAGAAUGUCACGGUGAAUACGUUCCCGGGUCUU
rnacentral:rRNA from 1 species